rnacentral:rRNA from 1 species
AACCCGAGGUUUCCUGGGCAAGGCUAAUCCUCCCAGGGUCAGUCGGGGGCUAAGGCGAGGCCGGAAGGCGUAGCCGACGCGCAGCAGGCAGACAUUCCUGCACCGCGCACGCGGCGCUACGACCGACGGGGCGACGGAUGGGGGUGGCUCGGCGGGGUUCUGGACGUCCCCGUGAUGGAGCGCGGCCCGCGGACCAGGGAAAUCCGGUCCGCACGAGGGCGAGGCUCCGGACGAAGCGAUCAAGCGAAGCGAGUGAGCCCGAGGUCCCUAGAAAAACCCCUAGGCAGGCGCGUGCGCGCCCGUACCGCAAACCGACACAGGUGGGUGGGUAGAACAUACCGAGGCGAUCGGGUCAACCAUGGUCAAGGAACUCGGCACAAUGGCCCCGUAACUUCGGGAGAAGGGGUGCCCGCGCGUACGUGAACGGACUUGCUCCGGGAGCGGAGGCGGGCCGCAGUGGAGAGGCCCAAGCGACUGUUUACCAAAAACACAGGACUCUGCAGAAGCCGCAAGGCGACGUAUAGGGUCUGACGCCUGCCCGGUGCCGGAAGGUCACGCGGAGGAGUUAGCGCAUCGCGCGAAGCCCCGAAGCCAAGCCCCGGUAAACGGCGGCCGUAACUAUAACGGUCCUAAGGUAGCGAAAUUCCUUGUCGGGUAAGUUCCGACCUGCACGAAAGGCGCAACGACUUGGGCGCUGUCUCGACCAUGGACCCGGUGAAAUUGCACUGGUCGUGAAGAUGCGACUUACCCGCGGAAGGACGGAAAGACCCCGUGAACCUUCACUGCAGCUUGGCAUUGGCCGCUGGUCCCGCGUGUAGAGGAUAGGCAGGAGGCACAGAUCCGGAGGCGCCAGCCCCCGGGGAGCCGCCCUUGGAAUACUGCCCUCGCGCGACCGGCGUCCUAACCCGAGGCCGUCAACCGGCUCGGGGACCGUGCCAGGCGGGCAGUUUGACUGGGGCGGUCGCCUCCUAAAGGGUAACGGAGGCGCGCGAAGGUCCGCUCGGGACGGUCGGCAACCGUCCUUUUGAAUGCAAGAGUACAAGCGGGCUUGACUGCGAGGCCCACAAGCCGAGCAGGUGCGAAAGCAGGCUCUAGUGAUCCGGCGGCCCCGAGUGGGUGGGCCGUCGCUCAACGGAUAAAAGGUACUCCGGGGAUAACAGGCUGAUCUUGCCCAAGAGUCCACAUCGACGGCAAGGUUUGGCACCUCGAUGUCGGCUCAUCGCAUCCUGGGGCUGGAGCAGGUCCCAAGGGUACGGCUGUUCGCCGUUUAAAGCGGUACGCGAGCUGGGUUCAGAACGUCGUGAGACAGUUCGGUCCCUAUCCUCCGUGGGCGCAGGAGAAUCGAUGGAGGCUGCCCCCAGUACGAGAGGACCGGGGUGGACGCACCUCCGGUGAACCGGUUGUCGACCAACGGCACGGCCGGGUAGCCGCGUGCGGCGCGGAUAACCGCUGAAGGCAUCUAAGCGGGAAGCCGUUCCAGGGAUUAGUUCUCCUUCCGGUAAGGGCCCAGGUAGACUACCUGGUCGAUAGACGGCAGGUGCAAGGACGGCGACGUCCUCAGCCGAGCCGCACUAAUCGCCCGAGCUCUUCCGGAA